rnacentral:rRNA from 1 species
GUUAUCCGGAAUCACUGGGCGUAAAGCGUCUGUAGGUGGUUUAAUAAGUCAACUGUUAAAUCUUGAGGCUCAACCUCAAAAUCGCAGUCGAAACUAUUAGGCUAGAGUAUAGUAGGGGUAAAGGGAAUUUCCAGUGGAGCGGUGAAAUGCGUAGAGAUUGGAAAGAACACCGAUGGCGAAGGCACUUUACUGGGCUAUUACUAACACUCAGAGACGAAAGCUAGGGUAGCAAAUGGG